rnacentral:rRNA from 1 species
UACAGAGGUCUCAAGCGUUUGUUCGGAUUCAUUGGGCGUAAAGGGUGUGUAGGUGGCGCGCUAAGUCGGGUGUGAAAUUUCGGAGCUUAACUCCGAAACUGCAUUCGAUACUGGCGUGCUUGAGGACUGGAGAGGAGACUGGAAUUCAUGGUGUAGCAGUGAAAUGCAUAGGGAUCAUGAGGAAGACCAGUGGCGAAGGCGGGUCUCUGGACAGUUCCUGACACUGAGACACGAAGGCCAGGGGAGCAAACGGG